rnacentral:rRNA from 1 species
AAAGAUGAGCAUGCGUCCCAUUAGCUAGUUGGUAAGGUAACGGCUUACCAAGGCAACGAUGGGUAGGGGUCCUGAGAGGGAGAUCCUCCACACUGGUACUGAGACACGGACCAGACUCCUACGGGGAGGGCAGCAGUGAGGAAUAUUGGUCAAUGGGCGCAAGCCUGAACCAGCCAUGCCGCGUGCAGGAUGACGGUCCUAUGGAUUGUAAACUGCUUUUGCACAGGAAGAAACACUCGGUCGUGACCGAGCUUGACGGUACUGUGAGAAUAAGGAUCGGCUAACUCCGUGCCAGCAGCCGCGGUAAUACGGAGGAUCCAAGCGUUAUCCGGAAUCAUUGGGUUUAAAGGGUCCGUAGGCGGCCAGAUAAGUCAGUGGUGAAAGCCCAUCGCUCAACGAUGGAACGGCCAUUGAUACUGUUUGGCUUGAAUUAUUUGGAAGUAACUAGAAUAUGUAGUGUAGCGGUGAAAUGCUUAGAGAUUACAUGGAAUACCAAUUGCGAAGGCAGGUUACUACAAAUUGAUUGACGCUGAUGGACGAAAGCGUGGGUAGCGAACAGGAUUAGAUACCCUGGUAGUCCACGCCGUAAACGAUGGAUACUAGCUGUUGGGAGCAAUCUCAGUGGCUAAGCGAAAGUGAUAAGUAUCCCACCUGGGGAGUACGUUCGCAAGAAUGAAACUCAAAGGAAUUGACGGGGGCCCGCACAAGCGGUGGAGCAUGUGGUUUAAUUCGAUGAUACGCGAGGAACCUUACCAAGGCUUAAAUGUAGAUUGACCGGUUUGGAAACAGACUUUUCGCAAGACAUUUUACAAGUGCCUGCAUCGUUGUCGUCAGCUCGUGCCGUGAGGUGUCAGGUUAAGUCCUAUAACGAGCGCAACCCCUGUUGUUAGUUGCCAGCGAGUCAUGUCGGGAACUCUAGCAAGACUGCCAGUGUAAACUGUGAGGAAGGUGGGGAUGACGUCAAAUCAUCACGGCCCUUACGCCUUGGGCUACACACGUGCUACAAUGGCCGGUACAGAGAGAGAGC